UAUGGCCACAUCAUGUUGAAACACCAGUUCCCAUAAGAUCACUAAAGUUAAGCAACAUCAAGCAUUAUCAGUACCUAGAUGGGUAACUGCUUGGGAAUACCAGGUGCUGUAA